AAUAAGCGCCAGCACCCGCGCCCUUCCUUUUCAGGUACUUCAAAUUAAAAAUUGCAUAUAAUCUCCUUUUAUCUUUUAACAUUACCCUAAAUUCAUCUGCAGCCACUCUCAUUCUUCUUUUCUCCCACAUUUGAACCCUAGCAGAGAGCAUACUACCCUAGCCAGUAGCCACCGACGGUUAAAAGCUCCUCAUUGACCAUGGCGGUUCAUGGUAGCGGCCAACAGUCCCUUACUCAUGGCGGCAACCAGCAACCCCAAGCCUGCUCCCACACCACCAUUUUCGAUUUUUGCCCGGCUAUCACUGUUCGUUACUUCCAUUGUCAGACGUCUUCUCCGCCAUCGUUAGUGAUCUUUUCUACCAUCCUCAGUCCUUUUCUCCAUGGUUUGCAGGAAAGAAGCUCUCUCUUAUUGACUCCGCCACUGUCAGCGGCAGCGCUCAUUGUCACUCCGACGAACCCCGCAAUAGCUCUUAGGCUCUACACCACCAUUUUCCACCGACUCCUCCGUGAGGUCGUUAUUGCCGCCAACAUUGCUUUCGGAGUUCGAUUGAAGAUUGAAAGGGUAAAGUAGUAAGAGCUGAGCAUUUACAAAUUUUGAUGUUUGGUGAAACAGAACCUACAGUUCAAGAACCUUCUCUCAUCAUGGUCCCGCACGACCAUUAAUUGAAGCUCAAACACAACUGAAGCACAAGAAGGAAUCUGUGAAGAAAAAGCAUCCACAGCUUCAUUAUGAAUCAAAUAUAUAUGCUUCUUCAAGAAGGGAUUGGGAUUCUCCACCUAAAGUGGUUUGGAGUUGAAGGAGACUACAACAUUAUGGCUAUUGACCUUUUUGGACCAAGCUUGGAAGAUUUAUUCAAUUAUUACAACAGGAAGUUUACACUGAAGACAGUGUUAAUGCUUGCUGAUCAAUUAGUAAGUCUACAUGUCAACUAUUAUAAUCAAACAAGAAUCACAUGAUGUUGUGUAGUGUAGUGCAGUGCCUUUGAUUUUGACUGUUGUUGGAUUCUUUAUAAUUAUGAAAAUUCUUUUCUUUUCUUUUUUGUUGAAUUUCUUGUUACUUUUUUGGUGAUCAUCUUCUAUAAAUCCAUUUAUGGAAUUUUUCAUCAUGGGUUAGUUUGGCUUAUAGUUCUAUGACCUCAUGUAUGGACACAAAAUUUUCCAUUUUUCUAUUGAUUCAUAUUACUUUUCCGUAAUCUGCAGAACUGAUGAGGUAAUCAACACUCAAUUGAUGGUUUCUCGGUAAAUUCUCCAAAAAUGGGUCAAGCAUUUUUCUCCAUAUUUCAGCUGGAAACAAAGAGGU